ensembl:piRNA 21ur-9900 ncRNA
UCAUUUGCUAAUCCAAAAAAA